rnacentral:rRNA from 1 species
AGCGGCAGCGACUUAACUGAACCUUCGGGGAACGUUAAGGGCGGCGAGCGGCGGACGGGUGAGUAAUGCCUGGGAAUAUGCCCUGAUGUGGGGGAUAACUAUUGGAAACGAUAGCUAAUACCGCAUAAUCUCUUCGGAGCAAAGAGGGGGACCUUCGGGCCUCUCGCGUCAGGAUUAGCCCAGGUGGGAUUAGCUUGUUGGUGAGGUAAUGGCUCACCAAGGCAACGAUCCCUAGCUGGUCUGAGAGGAUGAUCAGCCACACUGGAACUGAGACACGGUCCAGACUCCUACGGGAGGCAGCAGUGGGGAAUAUUGCACAAUGGGGGAAACCCUGAUGCAGCCAUGCCGCGUGUGUGAAGAAGGCCUUCGGGUUGUAAAGCACUUUCAGUAGGGAGGAAGGUAGUGUAGUUAACACCUGCAUUAUUUGACGUUACCUACAGAAGAAGCACCGGCUAACUCCGUGCCAGCAGCCGCGGUAAUACGGAGGGUGCGAGCGUUAAUCGGAAUUACUGGGCG